rnacentral:rRNA from 1 species
AGACGGGUGAGUAACGCGUGGGAAUCUACCCUUCUCUACGGGAUAGCUCUGGGAAACUGGAAUUAAUACCGUAUACGUCCUGAGGGAGAAAGAUUUAUCGGGGAAGGAUGAGCCCGCGUUGGAUUAGCUAGUUGGUGGGGUAAAGGCCUACCAAGGCGACGAUCCAUAGCUGGUCUAAGAGGAUGAUCAGCCACAUUGGGACUGAGACACGGCCCAAACUCCUACGGGAGGCAGCAGUGGGGAAUAUUGGACAAUGGGCGCAAGCCUGAUCCAGCCAUGCCGCGUGAGUGAUGAAGGCCCUAGGGUUGUAAAGCUCUUUCAGUGGGGACGAUAAUGACGGUACCCACAGAAGAAGCCCCGGCUAACUUCGUGCCAGCAGCCGCGGUAAUACGAAGGGGGCUAGCGUUGUUCGGAAUUACUGGGCGUAAAGCGCACGUAGGCGGAUAUUUAAGUCAGGGGUGAAAUCCCGGGGCUCAACCCCGGAACUGCCUUUGAUACUGGGUAUCUUGAGUUCGGAAGAGGUAAGUGGAAUUGCGAGUGUAGAGGUGAAAUUCGUAGAUAUUCGCAGGAACACCAGUG